rnacentral:tRNA from 1 species
UUUUUUGUGGUGUAUAAACACAUUGGCUUUUCACGCUGAAGAAGAAGAAAUAUUUCUUCCAGG